AUUGAACGCUGGCGGCAGGCCUAACACAUGCAAGUCGAGCGAGCGGCGGACGGGUGAGGAAUGUCUGGGAAACUGCCUGAUGGAGGGGGAUAACUACUGGAAACGGUAGCUAAUACCGCAUACCAUCAUAUGUGCCCAGAGGGGAUUAGCUUGUAGGUGUGGUAACGGCUCACCGAGGCGACGAUGCCUAGCUGGUCUGAGAGGAUGACCAGCCACCCUGGAACUGAGACACGGUCCAUAGGCCGACGGGAGGCAGCAGUGGGGAAUAUUGCACAAUGGGCGAAAGGCUGAUGCAGCCAUGCCGCGUGGGUGAAGAAGGCCUUCGGGUUGUAAAGCACUUUCAGCGGGGAGGCGUUACCCGCAGAAGAAGCACCGGCUAACUCCGUGCCAGCAGCCGCGGUAAUAC
rnacentral:rRNA from 1 species